UACAGAGGGUGCGAGCGUUGUUCGGAAUUAUUGGGCGUAAAGAGCCCGCAGGCGGCUUGGCAAGUUUGAGGUGAAAUCUCCCGGCUUAACUGGGAGGGGGCCUCGAAAACUGCCAGGCUUGAGGCAUGGAGAGGGAUGCGGAAUUCCCGGUGUAGUGGUGAAAUGCGUAGAUAUCGGGAAGAACACCAGUGGCGAAGGCGGCUCGCUGGGCCGAUGCUGACGCUGAGGCGCGAAAGCGUGGGGAGCAAACAGG
rnacentral:rRNA from 1 species